rnacentral:lncRNA from 1 species
GCUGUGCUGUCACUCUGUGCCCCCCCAGGGCUGAUGGUGGCUCCAAAUCGGCCGCGGUGGCACCGGGAGGCGGCGGGUGAGAGCACCAGGGCUGAGGUGACACGAGGAACCCAUCGGAUCACGGGGAUGGGGGCUGAGCUGCAGCAUGGCGUGUCCCCACUGUGUCCAGUUGUUGUCACCACCACCUCGGGGGUGGCACCGGAGCGGGGGAUGGAGGACGGGGUGACACAGGAUGGGGCGUUGGCGUGGGACAACGAGGUCACUCCCCGUGGGGACAGCACGGGCCCUGCCCCCAGCAGAGGUACAGCCAGUGUCCUUUGUGUGUCCCCCCCCUGUCCCCCCGUCCCCCCCUG